rnacentral:rRNA from 1 species
GUCCACGCCCUAAACGAUGUCUACUAGUUGUUGGUGGAGUAAAAUCCAUGAGUAACGCAGCUAACGCGUGAAGUAGACCGCCUGGGGAGUACGGUCGCAAGAUUAAAACUCAAAUGAAUUGACGGGGGCCCGCACAAGCGGUGGAUUAUGUGGAUUAAUUCGAUGCAACGCGAAAAACCUUACCUGGCCUUGACAUGUACGGAACUUUCCAGAGAUGGAUUGGUGCUCGAAAGAGAACCGUAACACAGGUGCUGCAUGGCUGUCGU